ACCGAAUAUGAAAAGAAAGGUGCCCUGAGGGCUUAAUAGGGAAGACCGGUGAAAAGCCGGCACGGUCCCGCCACUGUAAUGCGGAGCGAAUCCAAUGAUGUCACUGAGAAAUCGGGAAGACGGAUAGCGAGGAAGCAGAGUCAGGAGAACUGCCUGUCUUAUAUCACCGUUU
rnacentral:ncRNA from 21 species